rnacentral:rRNA from 1 species
AUGAACGCUGGCGGCGUGCCUAAUACAUGCAAGUCGAGCGAACGGACGAGAAGCUUGCUUCUCUGAUGUUAGCGGCGGACGGGUGAGUAACACGUGGAAACCUACCUAUAAGACUGGGAUAACUUCGGGAAACCGGAGCUAAUACCGGAUGAUAUUUUGAACCGCAUGGUUCAAAAGUGAAAGACGGUCUUGCUGUCACUUAUAGAUGGAUCCGCGCUGCAUUAGCUAGUUGGUAAGGUAACGGCUUACCAAGGCAACGAUGCAUAGCCGACCUGAGAGGGUGAUCGGCCACACUGGAACUGAGACACGGUCCAGACUCCUACGGGAGGCAGCAGUAGGGAAUCUUCCGCAAUGGGCGAAAGCCUGACGGAGCAACGCCGCGUGAGUGAUGAAGGUCUUCGGAUCGUAAAACUCUGUUAUUAGGGAAGAACAUAUGUGUAAGUAACUGUGCACAUCUUGACGGUACCUAAUCAGAAAGCCACGGCUAACUACGUG